GACAGAGGGUGCAAACGUUGUUCGGAAUUACUGGGCGUAAAGCGAGUGUAGGCGGUUUGGUAAGUCGGAUGUGAAAGCCCCGGGCUCAACCCGGGAAGUGCACUCGAUACUGCCAAGCUAGAGUGUCGGAGAGGUUGGUGGAAUUCUCGGUGUAGAGGUGAAAUUCGUAGAUAUCGAGAGAAACACCGGUGGCGAAGGCGGCCAACUGGACGAACACUGACGCUGAGACUCGAAAGCGUGGGGAGCAAACAGG
rnacentral:rRNA from 1 species